rnacentral:rRNA from 1 species
AACGAACGCUGGCGGCAGGCCUAACACAUGCAAGUCGAGCGAGGACUUCGGUCCUAGCGGCGGACGGGUGAGUAACGCGUGGGAACGUGCCCUUUGCUUCGGAAUAGCCCUGGGAAACUGGGAGUAAUACCGGAUGAGCCCUUUGGGGGAAAGAUUUAUCGGCGAAGGAUCGGCCCGCGUUGGAUUAGGUAGUUGGUGGGGUAAUGGCCUACCAAGCCGACGAUCCAUAGCUGGUUUGAGAGGAUGAUCAGCCACACUGGGACUGAGACACGGCCCAGACUCCUACGGGAGGCAGCAGUGGGGAAUCUUAGACAAUGGGGGAAACCCUGAUCUAGCCAUGCCGCGUGAGCGAUGAAGGCCUUAGGGUUGUAUAGCUCUUCCAGCUGGGAAGAUAAUGACGGUACCAGCAGAAGAAGCCCCGGCUAACUCCGUG